rnacentral:rRNA from 1 species
UACGGGGGGGGCAAGCGUUGUUCGGAAUUACUGGGCGUAAAGGGCUCGUAGGCGGUCUGUCGCGUCGGCUGUGAAAUCCCGAGGCUCAACCUCGGGUCUGCAGUCGAUACGGGCAAACUUGAGUGUUGCAGGGGAGACUGGAAUUCCUGGUGUAGCGGUGAAAUGCGCAGAUAUCAGGAGGAACACCGGUGGCGAAGGCGGGUCUCUGGGCAACAACUGACGCUGAGGAGCGAAAGCGUGGGGAGCGAACAGG